CGCGGCCUAUCAGCUUGUUGGUGGGGUAAUGGCCUACCAAGGCGUCGACGGGUAGCCGGCCUGAGAGGGUGUACGGCCACAUUGGGACUGAGAUACGGCCCAGACUCCUACGGGAGGCAGCAGUGGGGAAUAUUGCACAAUGGGCGCAAGCCUGAUGCAGCGACGCCGCGUGGGGGAUGACGGCCUUCGGGUUGUAAACUCCUUUCGCUAGGGACGAAGAGGAAUUGACGGUACCUGGAGAAGAAGCACCGGCUAACUACGUGCCAGCAGCCGCGGUAAUACGUAGGGUGCGAGCGUUGUCCGGAAUUACUGGGCGUAAAGAGCUCGUAGGUGGUUUGUCGCGUCGUUUGUGUAAGUCCGCAGCUUAACUGCGGGACUGCAGGCGAUACGGGCAUAACUUGAGUGCUGUAGGGGAGACUGGAAUUCCUGGUGUAGCGGUGGAAUGCGCAGAUAUCAGGAGGAACACCGAUGGCGAAGGCAGGUCUCUGGGCAGUAACUGACGCUGAGGAGCGAAAGCAUGGGGAGCGAACAGGAUUAGAUACCCUGGUAGUCCAUGCCGUAAACGGUGGGCGCUAGGUGUGAGUCCCUUCCACGGGGUUCGUGCCGUAGCUAACGCAUUAAGCGCCCCGCCUGGGGAGUACGG
rnacentral:rRNA from 1 species